GUGUGUCUGGGUAUAUUGUGUAGGUGUGUGAGAGUACACGUGUGUGUAGGUGUGUGUCUGGGUAUAUUGUGUAGGUGUCUGGGUAUAUUGUGUAGGUGUCUGUGCGUGUCUAUGAAAGAAGUGUUUGUAUGAUUGUGUCGUUAUGCGUGUAGUUAUGACUGUACCGUAAUAGCAUUUGUAU